GACAGAGGCCCCAAGCGUUAGGCGGAAUCACUGGGCUUAAAGCGUGUGUAGGCGGAUCGUUAAGUGUCUUGUGAAAUCCCACGGCUCACCCGUGGAACUGCUGGGCAUACUGGCGAUCUUGGGCCAACUAGGGGCAGCCGGAACAAGCGGUGGAGCGGUGAAAUGCGUAGAUAUCGCUUGGAACGCCAAAGGUGAAAACAGGCUGCUGGGGUUGUGCCGACACUGAGACACGAAGACCAGGGGAGCAAAACGGG
rnacentral:rRNA from 1 species